rnacentral:tRNA from 1 species
GGCUGGAUAGCUUAGCUUGUCAGAGCGUGGUGCUAAUAACUCCAAGGUAAUGGGUUCAAUCCCCACACUAGCCA